rnacentral:rRNA from 1 species
GAUGAACGCUAGCGGGAGGCUUAACACAUGCAAGUCGAGGGGCAGCACGAGGUAGCAAUACUUUGGUGGCGACCGGCGCACGGGUGAGUAACGCGUAUGCAACCUACCCUGUACAGGGGGAUAACCCGGAGAAAUUCGGACUAAUACCCCAUAAAGAUAUUUGGAGGCAUCUUUGAAUAUUUAAAGUUCCGGCGGUACGGGAUGGGCAUGCGUAACAUUAGCUAGUUGGCAAGGUAACGGCUUACCAAGGCAACGAUGUGUAGGGGUCGUGAGGGGGUGAUCCACCACACUGGGACGGAGACACGGACCAGACUCCUACGGGAGGCAGCAGUGAGGAAUAUUGGUCAAUGGGCGCAAGCCUGAACCAGCCAUCCCGCGUGAAGGAAGAAUGCGCUAUGCGUUGUAAACUUCUUUUCCAGGGGAAUAAAAUUGUGUACGUGUACGGAAUUGAAGGUACCCUGGGAAUAAGCAUCGGCUAACUCCGUGCCAGCCGCCGCCGUAAUAC